rnacentral:tRNA from 1 species
AGGCUUAUAACUCAAUGGUAGAGUACACAAGUGAUAUUUGUGGAGUUGAUAGUUCAAAUCUAUUUAAGCCUA